UACGUAGGGGGCGAGCGUUAUUCGGAAUCACUGGGCGUAAAGCGUGCGUAGGCGGAUUUGCAAGUUGGAAGUGAAAGCCCAGGGCUCAACCCUGGAAUUGCUUUCAAAACUGCAAAUCUUGAAUCUCGGAGAGGAUAGCGGAAUUCUCAGUGUAGCAGUGAAAUGCGUAGAUAUUGAGAGGAACACCGGUGGCGUAAGCGGCUAUCUGGACGAGUAUUGACGCUGAGGCACGAAAGCGUGGGGAUCAAACAGG
rnacentral:rRNA from 1 species